GUAUGUAUUUAUUUUAGAACUAGUUACUAACAUUUUUUUUUUAAAAAAUAAUUAUAUAG
rnacentral:misc_RNA from 1 species